CUACGGGUGGCAGCAGUGGGGAAUAUUGCACAAUGGGGGAAACCCUGAUGCAGCGACGCCGCGUGAAGGAAGAAGGCCUUCGGGUUGUAAACUUCUUUGAUUGGGGACGAAUAAAAUGACGGUACCCAAAGAACAAGCCACGGCUAACUACGUGCCAGCAGCCGCGGUAAUACGUAGGUGGCAAGCGUUGUCCGGAAUUACUGGGUGUAAAGGGCGUGUAGGCGGGUAUGCAAGUCAGAUGUGAAAUUCCACGGCUUAACUGUGGGCGUGCAUCUGAAACUGUAUAUCUUGAGUGCUGGAGAGGAAAGCGGAAUUCCUAGUGUAGCGGUGAAAUGCGUAGAUAUUAGGAGGAACACCAGUGGCGAAGGCGGCUUUCUGGACAGUAACUGACGCUGAGGCGCGAAAGCGUGGGGAGCAAACAGGAUUAGAUACCCGGGUAGUC
rnacentral:rRNA from 1 species